rnacentral:rRNA from 1 species
CAGCCGCCGCGGGAAUACGGAGGGGGCUAGCGUUGUUCGGAAUUACUGGGCGUAAAGCGCACGUAGGCGGCUUGGUAAGUUAGAGGUGAAAGCCCAGGGCUCAACCCUGGGAUUGCCUUUAAGACUGCCGAGCUAGUAGGUGAGAGAGGUGAGUGGAAUUCCGAGUGUAGAGGUGAAAUUCGUAGAUAUUCGGAAGAACACCAGUGGCGAAGGCGGCUCACUGGCUCAUUCUAGACGCUGAGGUGCGAAAGCGUGGGGAGCAAACAGGAUUAGAUACCCCCGUAGUCCCUGUCUCUUAUAC